GGGCAUCCUACCUGCUGGUAUGAGGUGUUACAUUAUCACAUCUCAUCCUUCGAUUAAUUGAGUUGUGAAGCCAAUUGGAUUGAAGUUCAUCCUGCUUUCCUGCGACGUCUGAUGUGCUUGCGAAGUAGAAGGUCUGUAUAUACAGACCUCCGUGAAGGUUUAUAUCAGAUAAUUUGGGAUUGGAUUUCUGGUUUCACUAUGAUUCAGGUAAGGAUCUGAUCAUUAAACAAGUAGAAUAUUAGAAAAAAUUUUUAGAUGCAAUCUGAGCAUUCUGGAAGAAAACUGUUCCCUUCCCUUCAGCUAGCACAUGAAUUAACCCAAGUUCCCAAUUGGAUU
rnacentral:lncRNA from 1 species